AGCGAACGCUGGCGGCAGGCCUAACACAUGCAAGUCGAACGAACCCUUCGGGGUUAGUGGCGGACGGGUGAGUAACACGUGGGAACGUGCCUUUAGGUUCGGAGUAACUCAGGGAAACUUGUGCUAAUACCGAAUGUGCCCUUCGGGGGAAAGAUUUAUCGCCUUUAGAGCGGCCCGCGUCUGAUUAGCUAGUUGGUGAGGUAAUGGCUCACCAAGGCUACGAUCAGUAGCUGGUCUGAGAGGAUGACCAGCCACAUUGGGACUGAGACACGGCCCAAACUCCUACGGGAGGCAGCAGUGGGGAAUCUUGCGCAAUGGGCGAAAGCCUGACGCAGCCAUGCCGCGUGGAUGAUGAAGGUCUUAGGAUUGUAAAAUCCUUUCACCGGUGAAGAUAAUGACUGUAGCCGGAGAAGAAGCCCCGGCUAACGUCGUGCCAGCAGCCGCGGUAACAC
rnacentral:rRNA from 1 species